rnacentral:rRNA from 1 species
AAUAAUCAAAAAAUAAAAUUUUAUUUGAAUAAUUGGUCCUUUCGUACUAAAAUAUUCCAUUUAUAAAAGAUAGAAACCAACCUGGCUCACACCGGUUUAAACUCAGAUCAUGUAAAAUUUUAAAGGUCGAACAGACCUAAUAUUCUAGCUACUACACCAAAAAUAAAUUUUAAUCCAACAUCGAGGUCGCAAACUUUUUCAUCAAUAAGAACUUUCAGAAAAAAUUACGCUGUUAUCCCUAAGGUAAUUUAAUCUUGUAAUCUAAAAAAUAGGAUCAUAAACUCAUUAAUCAAUGUAAAAAUAAUAAAAAGUUAAGCAAAUUUUUAUGUCACCCCAACAAAAUACUUCUAAAAAUAAAAUAUUAUUAAAAUCCUUAAAAAUCUUACUCCAUAAGCAUUAAACUCUAUAGGGUCUUCUCGUCUUUUUAAAAAAUCUAAGCUUUUUCACUUAAAAAUAAAAUUCUAAUACAUCUAAUUCAAGACAGUUAAUUUUUCAUCGAACCAUUCAUUCCAGCUUCUAAUUAAGAAACUAAUGAUUAUGCUACCUUUGUACAGUCAAUAUACUGCAGCCAUUUAAUUAAUCAUUGGGCAGGUCUGACCUUAAAUUAUAACUCAAAAGGACAUGUUUUUAAUAAACAGGUGAAAAUUAUAAUUGCCGAGUUCCUUGAAAUAGCCUUACAAAUAUAAAAUAAUUAUACAUAAAAUUAUACUAAUUUAAUCAUAAUUCCUAAACAAAAACUGUUAAAGUAAAAAUCUUAAUAUAAAAGUUAAAAUAAAUAUAAAUCAAAUAACAAAAAGAUAAAUUAAAACAUCCUUUAAUUGAUGGAAAAUUCUAAUCCUACAAAUCAAUUAAAUCAAAAUAUUUUUAACAAUAUAUUUAAAAGCUUAUCCCUUUAAAUAUUAAUUAGUAAAAAAACCAAACCUAAAACUUAAAAAGAUCCUAAUUACUAACUAAAUUAAAUCUAUUUCUUAAGAAACCAGAUAUACUCAAAAACGAAUAACAUUUCAUUACUAUAAUAAAAUUAUAAAUACUUAUUCUACAGUAAAAUAUAUAAUAUUAUAGCUCUUUUGAAUUCGGGAAAAAUUAAAAAUAAUUUAUAAUUUAAUUAACCCUGAUACACAAGGUACAACAAAUAAAAUUUUCUUUUAAAAAUUUUAAAAAAUUCUUUCUCAAUACUCUUAACUAUAAUAAAAAAUAUUUUUUCAAACAAAAAUAAUAAAAAUUAACAUUCUUCCAACAAAAACAAUUAAACAAUUAAACAAAAUAACCUAAUAAAU